rnacentral:rRNA from 1 species
CGAACGGAUGUAGCAAUACAUCAGUGGCGCACGAGUGAGUAACGCGUGGGAAACUGCCCAUCACAGGGGAAUAACGUUUGGAAACGAACGCUAAUACCGCAUACGCCCGAAAGGGGAAAGAUUUAUCGGUGAUGGAUGUGCCCGCGUUGGAUUAGCUUGUUGGUGGGGUAAAGGCCUACCAAGGCGAUGAUCCAUAGCUGGUCUGAGAGGACGAUCAGCCACGCUGGAACUGAGACACGGUCCAGACUCC